rnacentral:rRNA from 1 species
UGAAUACGAGAUGCUACGGCGUCGAAGCAGUCUAUGUCAUACUUCCAAGAAAAGCUUGCACUGUCAUAAACAAAUAAUGCCUGUACCAUAACCGACACAGGUGGGUAGGUAGAGUAUACUAAGGGGCGCGAGAUAACUCUCUCUAAGGAACUCGGCAAAAUGACUCCGUAACUUCGGGAGAAGGAGUGCCUUAUUUUAUAAGGUUGCAAUAACAAGAUCCAAGCAACUGUUUACCAAAAACACAGGUCUCCGCUAAGUCGUAAGACGAUGUAUGGGGGCUGACGCCUGCCCAGUGCCAGAAGGUUAAAGAAGUUGGUUAGCAUCCGCGAAGCUGAUAACUGAAGCCCUGGUGAACGGCGGCCGUAACGAUAACGGUCCUAAGGUAGCGAAAUUCCUUGUCGGGUAAGUUCCGACCCGCACGAAAGGCGUAAUGAUUUGGAUACUGUCUCAGAGAGGGGCUCGGUGAAAUAGACUUGUCUGUGAAGAUGCGGACUACCUGCACCAGGACAGAAAGACCCUAUGAAGCUUUACUGUAACUUGAAAUUGAAAUUGGACUUUACUUGCGCAGUAUAGGUGGGAGGCGUUGAGAAUAUUCUUGCGGGAAUGUUGGAGCCAUCAGUGAGAUACCACUCUUGUAAUGUUAGAUUUCUAACUUUGUAUCAUUAUCUGGUCAAAGGACAGUUUCAGGCGGGCAGUUUGACUGGGGCGGUCGCCUCCCAAACGGUAACGGAGGCGCACAAAGGUUUCCUCUGAACGGGUAGAAAUCGUAUCUAGAGUGUAAAGGCAUAAGGAAGCUUGACUGUGAGACCUACAAGUCGAGCAGGGACGAAAGUCGGUCUUAGUGAUCUGACGGUGCUGAGUGGAAAGGCCGUCACUCAACGGAUAAAAGUUACUCUAAGGAUAACAGGCUGAUCUCCCCCAAGAGUUCACAUCGACGGGGAGGUUUGGCACCUCGAUGUCGGCUCAUCGCAUCCUGGGGCGGUAGUACGUCCCAAGGGUUGGGCUGUUCGCCCAUGAAAGCGGUACGCGAGCUGGGUUCAGAACGUCGUGAGACAGUUCGGUCCAUAUCCGGUGUAGGCGUUAGAAUAUUGAGAGGAGCCUUCUUUAGUACGAGAGGACCGAGAAGGACAUACCUCUGGUGUACCAGUUAUCGUGCCAACGGUAAACGCUGGGUAGCUAUGUAUGGAGUGGAUAACCGCUGAAAGCAUCUAAGUGGGAAGCCCACCUCAAGAUAAGUAUUCUC